rnacentral:rRNA from 1 species
UACGAAGGGGGGCUAGCGUUGUUCGGAAUUACUGGGCGUAAAGCGCACGUAGGCGGAUCGAUCAGUCAGAGGUGAAAUCCCAGGGCUCAACCCUGGAACUGCCUUUGAUACUGUCGAUCUGGAGUAUGGAAGAGGUGAGUGGAAUUCCGAGUGUAGAGGUGAAAUUCGUAGAUAUUCGGAGGAACACCAGUGGCGAAGGCGGCUCACUGGUCCAUUACUGACGCUGAGGUGCGAAAGCGUGGGGGAGCAACAGG